ACAUCGAAAGCUUGCUUUUGAUGGGCGUCGACCGGCGCACGGGUGAGUAACACGUAUCCAACCUGCCGUCUACUCUUGGCCAGCCUUGCGAAAGUAAGACUAAUACCCAAUGACGUCUCUAGAAGACAUCUGAAAGAGAUUAAAGAUUUAUCGGUGAUGGAUGGGGAUGCGUCUGAUUAGCUUGUUGGCGGGGUAACGGCCCACCAAGGCGACGAUCAGUAGGGGUUCUGAGAGGAAGGUCCCCACAUUGGAACUGAGACACGGUCCAAACUCC
rnacentral:rRNA from 1 species